UACAACUUUCAACAACGGAUCUCUUGGUUCUGGCAUCGAUGAAGAACGCAGCGAAAUGCGAUAAGUAGUGUGAAUUGCAGAAUUCAGUGAAUCAUCGAAUCUUUGAACGCACAUUGCGCCCCUUGGUAUUCCAUGGGGCAUGCCUGUUCGAGCGUCAUU
rnacentral:rRNA from 65 species